UACGUAGGGGGCAAGCGUUGUCCGGAAUCAUUGGGCGUAAAGAGCGUGUAGGCGGCUCGAUAAGUCUGCUGUGAAAGUCCAGGGCUCAACCCUGGAAGGCCGGUGGAAACUGUCGGGCUAGAGUCCGGAAGAGGCGAGUGGAAUUCCCGGUGUAGUGGUGGAAUGCGUAGAUAUCGGGAGGAACACCAGUGGCGAAGGCGGUUACCUGGAGCUUUGCUGACGCUGAUGCGCGAAAGCGUGGGGAGCGAGUCCGG
rnacentral:rRNA from 1 species